CCUACGGGAGGCUGCAGUGGGGAAUAUUGGGCAAUGGGCGCAAGCCUGACCCAGCAACGCCGCGUGAAGGAAGAAGGCUUUCGGGUUGUAAACUUCUUUUAAGAGGGAAGAGCAGAAGACGGUACCUCUUGAAUAAGCCACGGCUAACUACGUGCAAGCAGCCGCGGUAAUACGUAGGUGGCAAGCGUUGUCCGGAUUUACUGGGUUUAAAGGGCGGGUAGCCGGGCUGACAAGUUAGAUGUGAAAUCCCGUGGCUCAACCACGGAACUGCAUUUGAAACUGUCUGUCUUGAGUAUCGGGGAGGCAGGCGGAAUUCCUAGGGUAGCGGUGAAAUGCGUAGAUAUUAGGAGGAACACCAGUGGCGAAGGCGGCCUGCUGGACGACAACUGACGGUGAGGCGCGAAAGCGUGGGGAGCAAACAGGAUUAGAUACCCUUGUAGUC
rnacentral:rRNA from 1 species